GGGCGAGGGCGGGAAGUGACUAGGGCACUGGCUCCCGCUGGUCUGAGAGUCCGCCUCACCGGUACUGGGAGCGGCGAAGGAGGCAGUACCUGCGGGGGCGAAACCAGGUCUCAGGACUGGACCCUUCCUUGAGGGGCGGGGUCUGCGGCCGAGCGGAAGAAUGGUGAAUCCAAACCGCGGUAGAAUCGGAUCGUCAAAUGGUCCUGGGCGAAGUGCCGCCGGUGCCGAGGUUGAGAAUAAAUAAACUUAAAAAAAAUUAAAACCAGUCUUCUGGAGGAGCAGUUCCAGCAGGGCAAGCUUCUUGCAUGCAUCACUUCAAGACCAGGCCAGUGUGGCCAAGCAGAUGGCUAUGUGCUGGAGGGCAAGGAGCUCGAGUUCUAUCUGAGGAAAAUCAAAGCCUGGAAAGUCAGAUGAGGAUUGAAGGAGAUCCUGCCAGGAAAGCCCCCAGGCUGCCCUUCUGCUGCUGGUGGCAUGAAGGUUCCCUCCCGGGGCCUGAGCUUUAGAGGGCCCGGGUGAGGGGUGAAGAAUCUGGGAGCCCGAGGCCUGGAGGUCGGUUCCCCACCCCCAACCCUCCAGGUGAUGAUAAAACAAUGUGAUCGGCUAUAAAAACUCUGUACCCCCCGCUGUUCGAGGCUGCACUCUUACCAAGAGUGUUGGUCCCGAUCGGUCCGCCUUGCCUCUCAUUGUAAUAAACUUUGUUGUGACUGUCA